rnacentral:lncRNA from 1 species
GGUUGUAAAUUAUCGUUGUCCGUACCAAAACGUUCACAUCAAAUAAAAUCCAUUUUUAAAGUGUGUCAGAAAACCUUAUGGAGUUCUUCAUAUUUUCAGCAUGGCAGCAGUAUCUCAACAGCGCCAAAGAAUUGACGACCGCCAAAAAACUGUCCUGAUUGACUACAUGACGGAACACUCGUACUUUGCCAAGCAUGGCAUCGGUCCAGGCCCCAAAGGGAAAGAGUUGGGGGCCCGAAUGUGGUCUACCUUAGUCACAAGACUGAACGCUUGCGGGACGGCCCAAAAAAACAUCAGUGGCUGGAAGCAAAGCUGGGCUGAUAUGAAAGGUCGCGUCAAAGAGGCAGCGGCUAAGGUGUACCACACUCCUACUGGCAAUGGCAGUAAAGAGGAAGAGUUUGGAGUUGCUCCUCAGACCCUCUCAGAGGAGGAUGAAAAAUCUAUAAACUUUGCGGGGGCGCUGAUUUCAUCGGCUCUGGCCCUGAUGAUGAGAUAGGCAUUCGAAAGUGUACCUGGCAAUUCUUCAACUAUGACUCAAUCUAGUGGACCAAAGUUACGUAACGAUCCUCUUUUUUCUUCUUCUUCAGCGACCUGUGAACUGUGAAUCUUUUUAGACUUACGUGUGAGAAAACUGAUAACAAGUGCAGCAAUUAAAGAGUUGUGCAUUGCUAUGCACGUUGGCAAUUAGGUUGAGAACUUGAAAAACUAUGAAGAGUUGUAUAACAACAAGCGUGCAACAGAAGUCUCCGGAUAGUGUAUUAGACAGAAUCAACUAUUCGACGUCAAUUAUUUCGAGCGUAGUCAAAUACAGAUGUGUUAUGAGCCGAUGAAAGAAUUUGAGUCGCACUUGAGCGAUAAAAUUUCGACGACAAAUAUUGAAUAGCGAUUCCAUAAGUCGAUUCCGCAUCACCAUUUUACCAAUUUUCCCUUCAACUUCAAUUUUAAGGCAGUAUAAGAUCGAGGUUGACGAAUAUGUACGUAUAAUGAAGUUGUGUAUUCUGAUACUUUUCAGGGGAAAAACGGAUACAUAUUUCAGUUACUGCGUGGGGAUGGGUGGAAUUUGAUAUUGAUUGUAUAAAUAAAUAAUAUUUGGGCGAAAAAUAAUGGCUGCAGCUUUAUGAUCCAGAUCAAAUACCGGCUUAAUGAGAGCGGCUUUCAGACCAGCAACCGGAUUAGCGACCGAAUGAAUUAGAUCGUUGUAUUUCUAAUGAACUAUUUUAUCCACAUCCAUUUCAAAUAUAAUUUGUUUCUGAUUAUAUAUCAUAGGUUAUUAUUUAA